GCCUGACCACUGAGGUGAAGUCUGUGGAGAUGCACCACGAGUCUCUCCUGGAGGCGCUUCCUGGUGACAAUGUCGGCUUCAACGUCAAGAACGUGGCCGUCAAGGAUCUCAAGCGUGGAUACGUCGCUUCCAACUCCAAGGACGACCCUGCCAAGGAGGCUGCCAACUUCACCGCCCAGGUCAUCAUCAUGAACCACCCUGGCCAGAUCAGCAACGGCUAUGCCCCGGUGCUGGACUGCCACACGUCCCACAUUGCUGUCAAGUUCGCUGAGAUCCAGACCAAGAUUGACCGGCGGUCUGGCAAGGAGAUUGAGGCGGCGCCCAAGUUCCUGAAGAACGGUGAUGCCGGGUUCGUCAAGAUGAUCCCCACCAAGCCCAUGGUGGUGGAAACCUUUGCCCAGUACCCUCCCCUGGGCCGGUUUGCUGUGCGCGACAUGAGGCAGACGGUUGCCGUGGGCGUUAUCAAGGCCGUGGAGAAGAAGGAUCCGACCGGCGCCAAGGUGACCAAGGCUGCGGCCAAGAAGAAAUGAGAUGGUGUCAGGUUCUUUACUGCAUCUAUGGUGGUGGUGGCGGUGGCGGUAUUUGGUGGUGGUGAUAGUUGUUCUAGUCGUUUUGAGAACUUGUUAAGCUUCGGUUAUUUGUGUCGAGCAGUGUUGGAACUGCUUAUUGCUCUGGUCAUUGUAUCGUUCGGUUGUGUUGGUGGAACUAUGUCAGUUGAUGUUGCUACUAAAUAUAGUCGUCAUGUUUGGAGUCGUUUUAUAUCAGUUGAUCAUGUUUCUUGUCAUGCAAAGUUGAAUUUUUGUUUUGCUUCCUUAACUAUUCCUAUUCCUGUGCUUCUUUUGCAGCCAGAAUAUUUCUUCUUCAGUUGUCCACUUUGCAGCUCCGAGUAUGCUCUGAGAUUAGGUGUUUGUUUUAGGAUUGUUUUACAAACAGAUGCCUUCGGUUUUUCUUUUUGCGGUAGUAUUUUUUUAUUCAUCAAAUGAUGACGAUAUCGGUUACAAUCAGAGAAGAGAUAAAAUCGGAGUCAGAUUAGGAUGACCGCUACACUAAAAAACGUUAGUAUUGGACGGAGGGAGUUAAAAUAGUUCCCGCGCUGACUUUUCGCGGAGGUAAAUUUGCCUAAGUCCCAGAUCUGUGUAAUUUUCAUGCCAUAUUCGACCUGUUGUAUCUCCGCAUCCGUAACCCCGUUUUGUGCGUGUAAUAUGUCAAAUUGUUCGUCUUGAAGAGUACAUCAUUUCAUUUCAUUGCAUCAUUUCAUUUCAUUGCAUCAUGUUCAUUUGAGGUCAUCUUGAUGCCCGAAUCAUCGUUGCAAGAGUGCUUCAUAAUGUUAUCUGCUGUCUGUUAACAGAACUAGCUCUUUUGUCAUUUUUGCCAUGUUUGAUGUGUGCAUCCUAUAAGGUUGAUGUCUACAUGUGUUUUGAACUAUGCCAUGUCUUCUUUACAAAGGUGCUUAUCAUGUAUUUUUGUGAUCAAUGUGUUGACUAGCACAAGCAUGCAAACUAGACUUCAUGAUAUUGCUGAUUUUAGUCCCUGUUCUGCUGUUAUUUUGAUUCCAUGUAAACAUGAUGUUACAGAGAAAUCCAUGCAUAUUUUGAGAUACUUCAGUAAGGGUGUUUUGAACAUAUGGUUGUUCUCUAUCCAUUCAUGUCCCUGGUUGUAAUUAUGGAGUGGUCUAGCAUGUCAUUUUCGUGCUCUAUUUUUGCUUCAAAAUGUUUCCUGGCAGAUUGUUUACAUGUUAUUCAAUUUUGCCAAAAUUGUUUUAGUUGAUCCUUGCAUGCUAUGGACUUGGUCUUGCC
rnacentral:lncRNA from 1 species